rnacentral:rRNA from 1 species
GUGUCAGCAGCCGCGGUAAAACGUGGGAGGCAAACGUUAUCCGGAUUUACUGGGUGUAAAGGGAGUGUAGGCGGUUCUUUAAGUCAGGUGUGAAAUCUUUUGACUUAAACAAAAGAAGUCAUUUGAAACUGGGGAACUUGAGGGCAGCAGAAGGAAACGGAAUUCCCAGUGUAGCGGUGAAAUGCGUAGAUAUUGGGAAGAACACCAGCGGCGAAGGCGGUUUCCUAGGUUGUUCCUGACGCUGAGGCUCGAAAGCGUGGGUAGCGAAGCGGAUUAGAUACCCGCGUAGUCCACGCCCUAAACGGUGGACACUAGAUAUGGGGAGUAUCGACCCUUUCCGUGUCGAAGCUAACGCCUUAAGUGUCCCACCUGGGUACUACGAUCGCAAGAUUAAAACUUAAAUGAAUUGACGGGG